GACGAACGCUGGCGGCGUGCUUAACACAUGCAAGUCGAACGGAAAGGCCCUGCUCUUGUGGGGUGCUCGAGUGGCGAACGGGUGAGUAACACGUGAGUAACCUGUCCCUGACUUUGGGAUAACACCAGGAAACUGGGGCUAAUAUCCGAUAGGAGCUCUUGCUGCAUGGUGGGGGUUGGAAAGUUUCGGCGGUUGGGGAUGGACUCGCGGCUUAUCAGCUUGUUAGUGGGGUAGUGGCUUACCAAGGCUUUGACGGGUAGCCGGCCUGAGAGGGUGGCCAGCCACAUUGGGACUGAGGUACGGCGCAGACUCCUACGGGAGGCAGCAGGGGGGAGUAUUGCACAAUGGGCGGAAGCGUGAUGCAGCAACGCCGCGUGCGGGAUGACGGCCUUCGGGUUGUGAACCGCUUUCGACUGUGACGAAGCGUGAGUGACGGUAAUGGGUAAAGAAGCACCGGCUAACUACGUG
rnacentral:rRNA from 1 species